AAUAUUGGACAAUGGGGGCAACCGUGAUCCAGCCAUGCCGCGUGUGUGAAGAAGGACUUCGGAUUGUAAAGAACUUUAAGUUGGGAGGAAGGGCUUUAGGUUAAUACCCUGAAGUUUGUACGUUAGCAACAGAAUAAGCACCGGCUAACUCUGUGCAAGCAGCCGCGGUAAUACAGAGGGUGCAAGCGUUCAUCGGAAUGACUGGGCGUAAAGCGCGCGUAGGUGGUUCAGUAAGAUGGGUGUGAAAUCCCCGGGCUUAACCUGGGAACUGCUUUCAUAACUGCUGAGUUAGAGUACGGUAGAGGGUAGUGGAAUUUCCUGUGUAGCGGUGAAAUGCGUAGAUAUAGGAAGGAACACCAGUGGCGAAGGCGACUACCUGGACUGAUACUGACACUGAGGUGCGAAAGCGUGGGGAGCAAAC
rnacentral:rRNA from 1 species